UCUGACAAUAAUUCAUCACCGGUAACAAAUUUCACUUUCAACAAGCGGCUCUUCGGGAAAGGCAAUAAAGCGUUCUCUGAGCUUACAAGCGUUAUCAGCAGGGUGCCGAGGAAGCAGACCAGUGACAUUCCUGUCAGAACACAGAGCAAUACAGCCAGGAGUUAGGCAGCAGAGAUAAGGGCACACACUUCGAGGCCACAGUACUCUCUAAUGAUAGUUUCCUGGAAAGAAGUAGGAGGAGACAAAGGUGUGUAGCAGCUGGAACCACCACAAGGAUUCCUGCUGUGGGUUUAUGAAGGAGGACAAAGCAUGAGAAGACCCAUCUGAGCGUCUGCCAUCCCUAAGAGGAAUCCCACACAAGUUCAGGAAGUCCUCCCAUGCCACGCUGUUCUCUGAUCUUGUUCUUGCCAUGAGAUGUCAGUACCCUCUGGUCUCUGUACCCACCACAUCAGAAAACUGGCUUCCACGUGGAGACUGCAGUCAGUGCUGACGUACUGCUCCUGCUCACAGAUGAACACAGACUUAGCUGGAAUGAAGACUGUCCUAUAAAGCAGCACAAGGCGACAUUCACUCUGGUAUUCAUUACUAUUGCCUUAGAAUAUACAAAUCCAAAGAGGGACAAAAAUUUCUGCUCUGGUAAAGAUCAACUUCUUGGCAUAGCACCAUUCUCUUAAAUGUCUGUAUAACAUUGUUUAAUUUUUGUCUUUGAGGAUUCUUAUUUCUUAUGGUCCUUAAAGUGUCAGAGUUGCAAGGCUGCCUUUUCAUGUCCAAGCAAACUACUGAUCUGCACUAGCGAGGUGCCUUUGGUCAGGCUGUGCUUCCUCCCAAAGGCCACUCAGAGGUUCCCAGAAUAAACUUUUCUGUAGAGGCCUUGAUAAUUAGUUUAUGUCCUCUGCACCCAAGGAAGCUCCCCUUCAAAAAAUGAAAUAAGCAAAUUCUCAAGACAGCAGAUAGAGACACGAGAGACUGAAGCACGAGCUGCACACAAG
ensembl:lncRNA